GUUUUGUCCUGUGAGUACCUGAAGUAGCUGCCAGAUACUUGGGGAACACUUUGAAAGUGCUGAAUUAACUUAAUUAAAGGAUCCUAACUUCUUUGUGGUAUUGGGACAGGAAUUGAUAAUAGCGUUUCUUCUUGUACAGUUUUUAGACUGGACCUGCAUGCUGGGAAACAGCAUUUCGUGCCCCAGGUGAUACAGAACCCAGAAAUGGGGAUACAUGUGCCCUUCUGUUAUAUUGGCUUCAAAUAUCCCACCAAGAGUUGGCCCUUCAGAGUGAGGCGCCACCCCACCCCCCGCUUUUUCAUGUCCUUAUCAUCAUCUCAGUGCUCCUCUCCUUUCUGGUGGUGGUAAUCAUUCUUUUCUGUCAUUAGGAACAUUUUCUGAUUUCUUUCCCGGGGUAUUUGUGAUAUAGGAAGGAAAUGAGUGCUGAAAAGGGUUAUCCUGUUACAGAAUUUCAUAUACUAUGCUGCUUAUACUGGGAAGACUGACUAAAGAGGUCUUCCUGGGUUGCCUCAUCUGUACCCU
rnacentral:lncRNA from 1 species